rnacentral:ncRNA from 1 species
GCCAGCUGGGAGCCGUGCCGGGACCUCGGUGAACAAAGAGAACACCAUCCCUCCGAGGACCGGACGCAUUCCGUGGUCUGUCCGUGCGGAUACGCACGGGUACGCCAUCUGCGACAUGCGCGAGCAUGCCGCGGGAAGGACGGAGCAGGAACCGCCCGUCCAACGGACGGUCCGGGUCGCCCGGGCACGGAGAAGGACAACGCACGGUGAUGCCGUGCCCACCGCAAUACGAAGGGGUGCUGAACAGGCUCCCCCGAAACCCGCAAACCAGGCCGCAUGAGAACGCGGUGCUGUAAGGCGGGAACCUCACCCACGGUGGGCGGCGCACACGGCGCCCCGGAAACGGGACGUAUAAACGGCAAGCCGGUCCAAGUAGCCAAAGCGUGCGUACUUCAAACAUUUGAUAAGUGGUCCAUGUGAGAACAACAGGGAAACUUUCUUAGCUGAAUGGCUGGUGAACGAUGCGGGUAUGAAAAAUCCCCGUCAGAGCAAGGCAUCCUCCGGGGUGCGGCUCCCAUAGUCGAGGGCGACGGCCCGAAGGCUCAGGUCGGAGUCCUCUGUGGCGGAACGUCCGCGUCCAUGCACCGGGUAGGGCGAAGGUCCCCCGGCACGGCUCCCAGCUG